AUGUACUUUGUCAACCUGGUGCUUUUUAGAAGGCAGGCUGUGCUUUUUCUCUCUAGAGAUCUUGUAUUUUUUCCCUCCCAGCUGAGACUUCCUCCUCUGCCAGACACCUGUUCCAAGGAAGCUCCUGCAACUAGAGAUCUCCUCAAGCUUUUUCUUCCCUCCCACUUGAUGCUCUCCCUCCUCGGCCAGACACCUGCUGCAGGGAAGCUACCUCAAGCCAGGGUGUGGCUUGAGUCCUGGCUGAGUCUAAGAUUGUCAUGCUCUAGCCCGUCGUGUGUUGCUGUAUGCCGAGAUGGAGGGCAGCAAGGAAGCCACCACGGACACUGCCCCAGGCCACUGCAGCGCAGCCGUUUGCUGUUGGAGGCUGAGUCAGUGUCCGAGUUGCUGUUGGAGCACAUUCUGGUCAAAGAGCCCUAGGAACCCAAGGGGCCUCCUCUCCUUCAGGCUGAAAUACCUGGCUGCUGCUGGGGUGGGGGGACCCCAUGGCAGUGCUCAGUGCUGAGCUGUGGCUACUGGGCACCUCUUCUCAUCUGGCCAUUUUUUUUUCACCUCAUCGUGUCCACAUAAACCUGUGAUCACAUCUUUAUUUCAAAUUCAGCAUGCUUCUCUGGGAAAAUGGCCAGAAACUUGGCAGACUCUCUGGGCUCCGUUUGAGGGGACAGGCACGUCCCUGGCUUGAAUCCCGAAUGGGCGGUUUUCUGAAACCAGGCUGACACCCCCUCCUCUCCUGCUGUGUGUUCAGUUCUCUGAGAGGAAGAGGACGAUGACACUGGUCCAUGCCCAAGACCAGCGCUUAAAACGACAAGCCCAAUGUUUAACACGGUUGUUUCUGGGCCCAAAGGUCUGCCUCUGGAGAAACAGGGCAAGCUGGCCCAUGGAACAUGUCACACUCUUGCAACCGGGGCACCUGAUCAGGCUGGAUGUGCCCAUCAGAUGCUGAAGGCACAGCUGCGUCCCUGCCCUGAG
rnacentral:lncRNA from 1 species